rnacentral:misc_RNA from 1 species
CAGAGUUCAUGCCCUUCGGGGUAGAUCUCCCACCCUUGAAUAUUAUACCUUAGUUGCUUUGGCAGGCCGGGGCAACCCCCCGGGCUCAGGCCUGGGAGUGCCUGCCAGAGGAAACAAACUCUGUUUUUAGUGAUGUCUGAGUACUAUAUAAUAGUUA